CCUACGGGAGGCAGCAGUGGGGAAUAUUGCACAAUGGGCGCAAGCCUGAUGCAGCCAUGCCGCGUGUAUGAAGAAGGCCUUCGGGUUGUAAAGUACUUUCAGCGGGGAGGAAGGUGAUGUGGUUAAUAACCGUAUCAAUUGACGUUACCCGCAGAAGAAGCACCGGCUAACUCCGUGCCAGCAGCCGCGGUAAU
rnacentral:rRNA from 1 species